ensembl:lncRNA
UCAGAGCGGUCGCUGUGAAGGCACGUUAAAAGAGGAAUCUUACCAUUGCAAUUUGACUGAACAGACAAAAUAAAUAAAUGAGAAACUAUGUACAGAAAAGGACUUUGGGUGUAAGGGAAGGUACCUCCGCAAGGGUGAUUGCUUGAAGGAUAACUUGUUUUACCGCUUAAAGGGAUAUGCCCCCAGGUCACUUUUCUCCCCUUAGGCUUUAAACACACACACACACACACACACACACACACACACACACACACACACACACACACACACACAGCUUACUAUUAAGUGUGCUGCAACAAGCCUUCCUGUGCUCUUCACAUGGACUGGACAGCAUGGAUUCCAACAUCAGAGUUUGGAUGGAGGAUCAGAUGUAUGCGGUAGUGCAUUUUACCGAGUCAAACGAGGUGGAGGUUGUGCCUUGCUCGUGGCUAAGUUUGGAUGGCAAGGUGUCUUUUUGGCCACCGUAUAAAGACACCAAGCGGACGAAAGUUGCAGUCAUCCAAAGCGCUAGGCCAGAUGAGACCUGGGGAGAGUUUUUUGUGGAGGUGGUGAAAACCUUUGGUGAGACAGACAAAAGUAGGAUGUACCACUUUUCUCCCCUUAGGCUUUAAAAGCUUUACUCACUUCAUUGUUGUCUUCAACAGCCAAUUAUGAUGCAGCGCGUAUGAACCUGAAAAAAGCCCAAACCAGGAGCACCCUGACAUCAGAUGAUGAAGGGGGUAAAAGAAGGAGAAUGUAAGCACUGUGCAGUAAUCUAUACUAUAAAAACCAUGAGCUACACAAAACAAUGCAUGCUUAUUGAGUGAUUUCUUUUCUAAUGCAGCCCUUCCUCAAAGCUGAAAGAAACUGUGCCUGCAGAUGAGGGGGAGAAGCAUACAAGGUCUGAUUACAGAUGGCCAUGCAUUAUCACUCACAUAAAGACAUUUUGUGAUUGGCAAGUUUGCAGUCUUACAAAACUGUUGUUGUUCAUACUCUUGUACUGUUCCAAUGUAUAGGGCUAAGAAAAAAGAAAAAAAAGGAGUCCUCCACAAGCCCCUGCUUUCCCCACCUGCUUUUAGAUCAUCACAGCAGGACAUACAUAAAGGUAUAACACAUCAUUCCAAAUCUGAAUUCUGCUAUUCUACUCACUAUCUUUUUUGAAUGUCUCGAAUCUGGGAAAUUUGAAUGUAAUGAACUUCAAUACACUGACUACUCUGAUUAUAAAUAUACAUAUUCUUGCCUACAGUUGCUGCCCACACAUCAGCUGCUCUUGAACAGGCCUCUGCCCAGAUCUCUGGCAACAUUCAAAGUCAAUUCGGUACACAAACAUCUGGCAUUACACAGCAAUACUGAAAAUCUGUUUAAACUUAAGUCUGUUAAUUUUAGCAAAGGGUCUUGACAUGACAGUCAUGAUGUUUUUCUGUCCUGUAGAACGGGAUCAUGCACUCCUGCGUGCUGUGGAGGAGUUGAAGGCCUUGGUGAGGCAGAACAACCUCCUCCUCCAGGCCCUUACUAGGCAAAAAACUACAGCAGCAGCAGCAGCAGACACUCUAUCUGAGGAAUUUAAGUUCCCAAUGAACUGCGAGGAAGACCUUCAAAGGGUGGAGGAUUUUCUGAGGGAGAAAUCCCAGGAAAAGGCCCUGGUAUAGUCAUGACUUCUAUAAUACUGAUAUAUUUCAGUUCUUUGCUACAAUGCAUUACCAAAGAUCAAAGUGCAUGAAAGUCCUUGUGCACAACCCUUCAGCUUUCCAGGUGCAGGUGUUAGGCAGGAAAACGUGAUCAAAUAUGAAAAGUUCAUUAAACACCGCGCACUGGAUACUAUUCUUUUUUCUCUUUAUUUUUAGGAGCGAACAAUGCGUUUCGCCCAAUGCGUUUUCAGGUUCGAACCUGAAGACGCAUUGGGCGAAACGCGUUGUUCGCUCCUAAAAAUAAAGAGAAAAAAGAACAGUAUCCAGUGUGCGGUGUUUAAUGAACUUUUCGCAUUACCAAAGAUGUACAUUUUGAACGGUAUGCUGACUAUAAGCCAUAAUAAGUUAUUCUAAAACAUUACUUUCCAUUCUUACCUGCAGGCAGCACACCUUAGUGCGCUUGGGGGCUGCAAUCCUGGUGACGAGGUUCGAAGAAUCCUUCGCCACAUCCUCACCAACCACUUCGCGCUGAAAUUCAACUGGCUUGGCAGAGGAGGGAAGAAGCAGGCUUUUGCCUCCUACAAGGUGUGCAAUGCAGUAAGAGGUAUGUAAACAAAUCACUCAUUGAGCUGGAUUCAUUUCUUUUGAAUAACCAUGGAGUGUACUGCAUGCAUCUUGUCAUUAAACACUUGUAAUGCACUUUGUACCAUUGUAUUAUUGGCCAGGACAUGAAAAACGGAUUACUAAUCUCAAAGGAUCUUUCCUCCUCAAUAAAUCAAUGUUAAAUAAACUAAAUAAAAACACUUUCUCUGUUUAGGUGCAUCGGCUAGCCAGAACAUUUCGGCCAGCGACUGCGAGGCAGUUAUUAAAAACUGGCUGAAGUGCAGCGGUGACCGGAGUGACGGAAGAAAGAGGAGAGAAAGCAGAGUCCAUGAAGGUAUGCAUGAACAGCAAACCAUCAAAUACUUGAAAUGAGACUUACAUAGCUUUCUCUUGAAGCGUUUGAGGGGCAAGAGGGAUGUGCUGAACCUUUUACAGUUUGAUGGAGCUUUACCUAACAUGGAAUUUAAAAGUUAUUCUUCAAGGUGUUUGAUUUCCUGUUGAACCAGACCCUGAAAUCCACCAUCCUAGUGCACCUUUAAGUAAUUUACUA